rnacentral:sRNA from 1 species
GGGUCACGCUGACAACAAUCAAAAGCGACGUACCACCAAGGUAGAACGGCACGCCUGUCUGCGAGAUGAGUAUCUCGGGCAGGAUGCAGACGAAGACCAGG